rnacentral:rRNA from 1 species
GACGAACGCUGGCGGCGUGCUUAACACAUGCAAGUCGUACGGUAAGGCCCUUUCGGGGGUACACGAGUGGCGAACGGGUGAGUAACACGUGAGUAACCUGCCCACAACUUUGGGAUAACGCUAGGAAACUGGUGCUAAUACUGGGUAUGUGCUCCUGCUGCAUGGUGGGGGUUGGAAAGCUCCGGCGGUUGUGGAUGGACUCGCGGCCUAUCAGCUUGUUGGUGGGGUAGUGGCCUACCAAGGCGGCGACGGGUAGCCGGCCUGAGAGGGUGACCGGCCACAUUGGGACUGAGAUACGGCCCAGACUCCUACGGGAGGCAGCAGUGGGGAAUAUUGCACAAUGGGCGCAAGCCUGAUGCAGCAACGCCGCGUGCGGGAUGACGGCCUUCGGGUUGUAAACCGCUUUCAGCAGGGACGAAGCUUUUUGUGACGGUACCUGCAGAAGAAGCACCGGCUAACUACGU